GCACGUUCUUUCGUUCGGGAUUAAGAGCAGCAGCAGCAGCAACAACAGCAGCGGACGCGGCGUUUUGGAUGUGUUCGCCACUUGGUUGUCUGCUCGGGAGCGGCGUGGAUCUCGUGCGGCCAUCGACGGAGUGGAGACCGCGAGACGUGUUCGCAACGCGGCCGACGGCGCGACCAGGUAUGGAAAGAUUGAAGACCAGCGCAGCGGGAAUGCGGUGCGGCGUUUCCCAGCUUGCAAGGGGGAUGGUGUCGCUGCUUUGUGGCCACGGAAGGGGGCUGCUGUUGGACACCUCCAUCAGGGCAACGUCAUCCAGCUUGGACAGGAGCAGCCCACCCGGCGCGUCGCAGCUACCCGGCUUGAGGGCCAACGUGACGCACUGGCACGU